UACCAGCACCCCGAGUGGUCGGGACGAUUAUUGGGCCUAAAGCAUCCGUGGCCGGUUCUGCAAGUCCCCCGUUAAAUCCAGCUGCUCAACAGAUGGGCCGCGGAGGAUACUCCAGAGCUAGGAGGCAGGAGAGGCAAGCGGUACUCAGUGGGUAGGGGUAAAAUCCGUUGAUCCAUUGAAGACCACCAGUGGCGAAGGCGGCUUGCCAGAAUGCGCUCGACGGUGAGGGAUGAAAGCUGGGGGAGCAAACCGG
rnacentral:rRNA from 1 species